rnacentral:rRNA from 1 species
GAUGAACGCUGGCGGCGUGUUUAACACAUGCAAGUCGAACGGUGAACGAGGGAGCUUGCUCCCUCCGGAUCAGUGGCGAACGGGUGAGUAACACGUGAGCAAUCUGCCCUGGACUCUGGGAUAAGCGUUGGAAACGACGUCUAAUACCGGAUACGAGGCGUGGGGGCAUCCCCAACGCCUGGAAAGAACUUCGGUCCAGGAUGAGCUCGCGGCCUAUCAGGUAGUUGGUGAGGUAAUGGCUCACCAAGCCUACGACGGGUAGCCGGCCUGAGAGGGUGACCGGCCACACUGGGACUGAGAUACGGGCCAGACUCCUACGGGAGGCAGCAGUGGGGAAUAUUGCGCAAUGGGCGAAAGCCUGACGCAGCAACGCCGUGUGGACGAUGAAGGCCUUCGGGUUGUAAAGUCCUGUCACAGGGGACGAAGCCUCGACUUGUCGAGGUGACGGUACCCUGAGAGGAAGCCCCGGCUAACUACGUGCCAGCCGCCGCAGUAAAAC